UACGAAGGGGGCUAGCGUUGUUCGGAGUUACUGGGCGUAAAGGGCGCGUAGGCGGCGCACCAAGUCAGGCGUGAAAGCCCUGGGCUCAACCCGGGAAUUGCGCUUGAGACUGGUGUGCUUGAGUACGGGAGAGGAUAGUGGAAUUCCCAGUGUAGAGGUGAAAUUCGUAGAUAUUGGGAAGAACACCGGUGGCAAAGGCGGCUAUCUGGACCGUAACUGACGCUGAGGCGCGAAAGCGUGGGGAGCAAACAGG
rnacentral:rRNA from 1 species